rnacentral:rRNA from 1 species
UGUACGUACAAGCAGUGGGAGCCUCUUUAUGGGGUGACUGCGUACCUUUUGUAUAAUGGGUCAGCGACUUAUAUUCUGUAGCAAGGUUAACCGAAUAGGGGAGCCGAAGGGAAACCGAGUCUUAACUGGGCGUUAAGUUGCAGGGUAUAGACCCGAAACCCGGUGAUCUAGCCAUGGGCAGGUUGAAGGUUGGGUAACACUAACUGGAGGACCGAACCGACUAAUGUUGAAAAAUUAGCGGAUGACUUGUGGCUGGGGGUGAAAGGCCAAUCAAACCGGGAGAUAGCUGGUUCUCCCCGAAAGCUAUUUAGGUAGCGCCUCGUGAAUUCAUCUCCGGGGGUAGAGCACUGUUUCGGCAAGGGGGUCAUCCCGACUUACCAACCCGAUGCAAACUGCGAAUACCGGAGAAUGUUAUCACGGGAGACACACGGCGGGUGCUAACGUCCGUCGUGAAGAGGGAAACAACCCAGACCGCCAGCUAAGGUCCCAAAGUCAUGGUUAAGUGGGAAACGAUGUGGGAAGGCCCAGACAGCCAGGAUGUUGGCUUAGAAGCAGCCAUCAUUUAAAGAAAGCGUAAUAGCUCACUGGUCGAGUCGGCCUGCGCGGAAGAUGUAACGGGGCUAAACCAUGCACCGAAGCUGCGGCAGCGACACUAUGUGUUGUUGGGUAGGGGAGCGUUCUGUAAGCCUGUGAAGGUGUGCUGUGAGGCAUGCUGGAGGUAUCAGAAGUGCGAAUGCUGACAUAAGUAACGAUAAAGCGGGUGAAAAGCCCGCUCGCCGGAAGACCAAGGGUUCCUGUCCAACGUUAAUCGGGGCAGGGUGAGUCGACCCCUAAGGCGAGGCCGAAAGGCGUAGUCGAUGGGAAACAGGUUAAUAUUCCUGUACUUGGUGUUACUGCGAAGGGGGGACGGAGAAGGCUAUGUUGGCCGGGCGACGGUUGUCCCGGUUUAAGCGUGUAGGCUGGUUUUCCAGGCAAAUCCGGAAAAUCAAGGCUGAGGCGUGAUGACGAGGCACUACGGUGCUGAAGCAACAAAUGCCCUGCUUCCAGGAAAAGCCUCUAAGCAUCAGGUAACAUCAAAUCGUACCCCAAACCGACACAGGUGGUCAGGUAGAGAAUACCAAGGCGCUUGAGAGAACUCGGGUGAAGGAACUAGGCAAAAUGGUGCCGUAACUUCGGGAGAAGGCACGCUGAUAUGUAGGUGAAGCGACUUGCUCGUGGAGCUGAAAUCAGUCGAAGAUACCAGCUGGCUGCAACUGUUUAUUAAAAACACAGCACUGUGCAAACACGAAAGUGGACGUAUACGGUGUGACGCCUGCCCGGUGCCGGAAGGUUAAUUGAUGGGGUUAGCGCAAGCGAAGCUCUUGAUCGAAGCCCCGGUAAACGGCGGCCGUAACUAUAACGGUCCUAAGGUAGCGAAAUUCCUUGUCGGGUAAGUUCCGACCUGCACGAAUGGCGUAAUGAUGGCCAGGCUGUCUCCACCCGAGACUCAGUGAAAUUGAACUCGCUGUGAAGAUGCAGUGUACCCGCGGCAAGACGGAAAGACCCCGUGAACCUUUACUAUAGCUUGACACUGAACAUUGAGCCUUGAUGUGUAGGAUAGGUGGGAGGCUUUGAAGUGUGGACGCCAGUCUGCAUGGAGCCGACCUUGAAAUACCACCCUUUAAUGUUUGAUGUUCUAACGUUGACCCGUGAUCCGGGUUGCGGACAGUGUCUGGUGGGUAGUUUGACUGGGGCGGUCUCCUCCUAAAGAGUAACGGAGGAGCACGAAGGUUGGCUAAUCCUGGUCGGACAUCAGGAGGUUAGUGCAAUGGCAUAAGCCAGCUUGACUGCGAGCGUGACGGCGCGAGCAGGUGCGAAAGCAGGUCAUAGUGAUCCGGUGGUUCUGAAUGGAAGGGCCAUCGCUCAACGGAUAAAAGGUACUCCGGGGAUAACAGGCUGAUACCGCCCAAGAGUUCAUAUCGACGGCGGUGUUUGGCACCUCGAUGUCGGCUCAUCACAUCCUGGGGCUGAAGUAGGUCCCAAGGGUAUGGCUGUUCGCCAUUUAAAGUGGUACGCGAGCUGGGUUUAGAACGUCGUGAGACAGUUCGGUCCCUAUCUGCCGUGGGCGCUGGAGAACUGAGGGGGGCUGCUCCUAGUACGAGAGGACCGGAGUGGACGCAUCACUGGUGUUCGGGUUGUCAUGCCAAUGGCACUGCCCGGUAGCUAAAUGCGGAAGAGAUAAGUGCUGAAAGCAUCUAAGCACGAAACUUGCCCCGA